UGAACAAAGGGUUACUGUUCAAAAGUAAACACUCAAAUAGUGAUCCAGAGAGUGCUUCUUCACAACAGAAUUCCAAACUUUGCCCCAGCGAAGCAUCACGACAUAGUUCACGACACUGCACCUGCUCAGGACAAGUUACAAUAUGAACUGUAAAGAAAGUGGAGACUCCUAUUGGACUGUGAGUGAGAGUCGUGUGGAGUAAGG